GGCUCCUAGAGACAUCCUGCAGUGACCGGCCAUGGAAAGGGGAUGCGCUGCCCCCUUCCCUCGCUCUGUCCCGAAGCCAAGAGCCCAUCUACUCUGAGGAAGCCUCGGGUCCUCGUUCUCCCUUAGACAUGGUCUCUAGCCGCAGUUCAGAUGCUGCUCGUCCUGUGGGCCAAGUGGACAGACAUAUCCAGCUGCUGGUCCAUGGUGUUGGGCAGGCAGGUAAGGUCUGAGGAGGGGGUAGGGGAGUCGCCACAUGAGGUUCCAGAAUCCUCUGGGACUUCUCUUAGAACCUUGCAAGCAUUACACUAGAAGUUAUGUAACAGUCUCAGCCCAAGACCUGACACAUGUUAAGUGAGCCAUAAAUACUAGCUGGAGGCUCCAGACCCUCUGGGACUUCUCUUAGAACCUCCUAUUACUCUGCCCUGGGUCCCUCCUCUAGUUCCUGCUGUGCUCGGGUCUUUCCUCA
rnacentral:lncRNA from 10 species